rnacentral:misc_RNA from 1 species
AAGUCGUAACAAGGUUUCCGUAGGUGAACCUGCGGAAGGAUCAUUACUGAUUGAUUGUGGGUGUGAGUGUGGUUUUGCGAUGUGGGAGUGCGGAAGCAGUCGCAUAUCGCAAAACUGCGUGAAUCACUACAUAUGCCCGCUCCCGCAAGGGAGUAGGAUCUGGAGUUGGUGUGUAGUGUGAUGGUUUGGGAAAGGGCAAUAAUGGCAACAUUGUCGUCUCCUUGCCAGACCAUCAUCCCUUGCAUCAGCUUCAAAAUACCUCUUUAUUUUAGUCAUCACAAAAUCUUAAAUUACCAUGACUUUUAACAAUGGAUCUCUGGGCUCCU